GGGAGGCAGGAACACCAGCUUUUGAGCCAACACCAGUUGUUCUUGUAAAUAUUUUAUUCGUUUCUCAGUUAUUCACUGUAGCAGGCCACUAUCUAGCCUCUGGCUAUCAGAGGGCAAAAGCACUGAAGAGCGUUAAGCGCAUAAGCAGGCCUGACACGUAACAACUGCUGCGGGAAGGCAGCACUUUUCAUCUUCAUGUCCUUACUGCAGGUUGCUAACCCAGCCCCAGGCCCCCGGCUCUGCCCCUGCCCCUCGCUCCUGCCCUGCAGCCUGCCUGAAGGCUGUUUGACACAUCGUAUAUACAGCGGAUUUGUAAUUUUUUUCUCCCAAUCACAGCAAAAAAAGUCAAUUUUCCUUCUGGGGGGUGCCAAAUAAUAAUCCAGGUUUCCUGAAGCAGGUGAGCAAUUACAUAUCUAUAAAACUGGAUGAAGCUAGAUUGGAGAUGGGUUGCCAUCACAUUUCCUUAAACAAAGGAGGGAGAUGAGGCAGAUCUAAUCACAUCCUUCAUUCACCCCAUCCUGCAAACUCCCUUUGCCAUGUUCAGAUAGGGAAGGUGAGCCUUUGAUCCAGGUAGCCUGAGCUGAGCAGCUAAGAUGGGUAGAGAUGCAAACAGAGUCCAAGCCCCUGGGUCCAAACCAACCUUAGAGAGCUCUCCAAAUGUGGGGGCUGGUCAGUGCUGUGCUUCUGGUUGAAAGGCAUCUUGGCCUGUUGGCCAAGGCAUAGCAAGGUCUAGCAAAAGCAUGUUGGACUUCAUUUCAGACUGCCGGGCACAGCACUGGGGUGAUGUGACAACCUCUUUGCCACCAUGGGGCUAAGAGAAAGGCCCUGCUCUCCCAUACAGCUCUGCCCAUCCCCUGCCAGGUGCCAGCAUUUCCUUCCUCAGCUUCUUCAUCACAAAGGGCAUGACCAGGUGGUCUCAGAGCCUGUGGCAACAGCAGCAGAGGAGGCAGGAAGUUCCCAGUCCAAUUUGCAAGAGCCUGUGGCACAUGGGCAAGACUGGCCACUGCGGAGACCUAUUUGUGGUGGUCUGUGGAUUAAAUUCAGCAGGGUACUGGUGAGACAGGAAAGCAGAACUAUGGAGAACCUGCCCUCCAAGUGUUCUCCAAGACCUCUUUGUUUGACAGUUUUGUUCUUUCUGCCACUGAUGGCAGAAAAGGUGGGUGCUUACACCAAGUGGAUGUCAGAGGAGGGUUGGUUCUCCCUUUCUGCUUCUUGAAGCCAGUCAGACAUAACUCCGCUGGGAGCAUUAUACCUGAAGGCCGGUGAGGGAAGCCAGGUCUUGCUGACAACACAGAAAAAGGAUAUGCAAAAGAUGCCAAGCUUGUCAGUCCAGCCAGGUGGUGAGGGCAGAUCCCCACCUGCUGCCAGCUAUCGCAGCUUCCCCUAACACCAGCAGCCCUUUAGCAGGCACAGACCCUCCCCAGGGCAGUGCUGCUGGAAGGCUCCUCUUUGUCAUAGGAAAUGGGAGCAGCAGCUUUUCUGACUGUGUCUGUAUGGAGACGUCAGCCAGGGUAUUGUACUCCAGGCUUAUCUCCCUCCCAGCUAUUUUCCUGCUUUCCCCAGGGGCCCUGAGCUCUGCCAGGGCAUUUCCCACCUUCACCCCCUGGAACCCUCUGCCUGCACACCAGCAGUGGUGUCCUCUCAGUGCCCCACUCUGGGCAAAGAUGGGGACGGCUGAAUCCCAUGGAGGGGGAGCUUUGUGCCGCUGGCAGGCUUCCCACCUAUCCUCCACCUAUUCCUUGCCUUCCUACCAGCACCGCUCCAAACAGUAAGGAGAGAGCUUCUUGUGGGUAUAACAGGGUGUAUUAGGCUGAGGCUGCUUACUGGGGCUGUCUGUCCAAAUGCCUCGAAAGCUUCUCCCAUGUCAGCCCAUGCUUGUCCCUCUGCUGUCAACUUCAGGAUGCUACACCUCUGCAUUCACCUCUUCGUCCCAGAGGCACGCAUGGUGAGGACCCCCAUGCCUCUUCCCUCUCUCCUCCAGGGAAGCGAGCAGGUCACCUGAGGAGAGGAACAAGAGGGGCAAAAGACGUAGCAGAGGGAGGAGCUGGGAUGAGUAGAAAGUAGGGAUGAAAAGCGAAAGAAGUGACUGGGUCAGGUAGGGGACAGGGCAGAAGGAAGAAGCUGAGCUAAGGGAUAAACUGAAAGGACUAGAAGAGGUUGCUCAAAAGGAACUACAGGGGUUGUUUAAACUGAGAACCACUGGGACAGAGACUGCC
rnacentral:lncRNA from 1 species